UACGUAGGGACCGAGCGUUGUCCGGAUUCAUUGGGCGUAAAGAGCUCGUAGGCGGCUGUUCAAGUCGAACGUGAAAACUCGGAGCUCAACUCCGAGCCUGCGUUCGAUACUGGAUGGCUUGAAUUCGGGAGAGGGAUGCAGAAUUCCAGGUGUAGCGGUGAAAUGCGUAGAUAUCUGGAGGAAUACCGGUGGCGAAGGCGGCAUCCUGGACCGACAUUGACGCUGAUGAGCGAAAGCUAGGGGAGCAAACGGG
rnacentral:rRNA from 1 species